rnacentral:rRNA from 1 species
GACAGAGGGUGCAAACGUUGUUCGGAAUUACUGGGCGUAAAGCGCACGUAGGCGGAUAUUUAAGUCAGGGGUGAAAUCCCAGAGCUCAACUCUGGAACUGCCUUUGAUACUGGGUAUCUUGAGUAUGGAAGAGGUAAGUGGAAUUGCGAGUGUAGAGGUGAAAUUCGUAGAUAUUCGCAGGAACACCGGUGGCGAAGGCGGUUCUCUGGGCCUGUACUGACGCUGAGGAGCGAAAGCGUGGGGAGCAAACAGGAUUGAAGAUACCCCGGGUAGUCCAGAACCAAGUCCUCCUACGGUCCUACC